GGUUGGGGGGGCGGCGGCGGGGGAUGGGGCGGUGGCGAAGAGGAAGAUGACUUCGGAUUCGACAAGGAAUUAAUUGGACUCUUGGGACUGAAGGGAUUGAAAGGGUUGAAGGGUCUUGGUGGCCUAUUGGGGUUACUCAAGGGUCUCUUACUCCUCAAGAAAUUGGGACUAAUUCCCCUUCUUCCCAUUCUACUUCCGGUCCUUUUGCCCCUCCUCCUUUUUAAGGCAGCCCUACUUCUCCUCCCCCUUCUUCUACUGCUUCUUAUCCCGAUUCCCGUAAUUACAACCGGUCGUCACCUCUUGGAAUCCGCUGCAGCUGGAAAAUCCAUAAAAUCCAUAAUAUCCGACUCUCUCGACGAACUCUUAACCAAACUUCCCCCCGAUUUGAACCAUAUCAUUGCCAAAAUCCGAAACGGUAUCGGUCCCGACGCCAUCUCGGCUAAAAAUCAGGUUGACACUGACCCCACCACGACCACCACCUCGGAAGCCAGGUCUUCUGUCUCUUCAACUAAAAAACACAUCGUCAAGUUUGUCAAACCUUUGCCAAAAACUAAAAAUAUUUAGCAAAAACCUCCGCCAAAAAUAAUAUUUACAACAAAAAUGACCCACCUGACACAAACUCAACAAACAAAGACUGGACUUUUUGACCUCAUUUACAUAAAUAAUUAUGACGACAAUGACGACAAAAUGACGAAAUGACGACGCUUAACCAAAUGACGAAAAGACAAAAAAUGUGACGAUGACGACUUUACGACACCGCCAAAAAAAUGACAAAUUCCUAGUGACCCGACGCCAUAAAAAGACAGAGCUUGACACAUUUUUACGUAUGCAUAACUUCUUCAUUUCCGGUCUCACUUUCGAAAAAUUUACCAAAAAACGACCAAAAAUUUACCAAGAAUUGACACUAACGAAAAA